rnacentral:lncRNA from 1 species
GAUUGAGCUGUUCGUUUGAUGAUCUUAUUAGUCCACCUUGGAUUCGAGAAAAGUGCUCCUUGAAGGACUAACGAGUCAAUAAGAUGAUGACACGUUAGGGCAAAUUUUAUGAAAAAAUGCUUUUUAUACAUCCAAAAAAGAGUGCAUUUUACACCCGUAAUUCUAGAGCUGAUAAAAAUUAAAUUGAUUUUUAAUAAAAUUUUAAAAAAUUAAUUUAAUAAGAAUGAUCUUAAAAUGGAGUGGGUGUAAGAUAUACAUCCCAUUUUAGAGUGUACCUGUAGCAUAUGUAUGUGAAUUGUUCAAAGUCGUGCGCCUUCCGAAUUAUCGAAAUGAAAGUAUUUGCAGUAAUGAAUCUAUCAAUGUAUUUUAUGGUGGUCCUAAUUUAUUAAUACAGUAGAUUUUGUAUUUUUUUAGAU